GAUGAACGCUGGCGGCGCGCCUAACACAUGCAAGUCGAACGGUUAAAGCACCUUUUAGGUGUGUAUAAAGUGGCGAACGGCUGAGUAACACGUGGGCAACCUGCCCUCCUCUUGGGGAUAGCCUCGGGAAACCGAGGAUAAUACCCGAUACUUCAAUGUGGCCGCAUGACGACAUUGAGAAAGCUUUUGCGGAGAAGGAUGGGCCCGCGGCCUGUUAGCUUGUUGGUGGGGUAGAGGCCUACCAAGGCAAUGAUGGGUAGCUGGGUUGAGAGACCGACCAGCCAGAUUGGGACUGAGACACGGCCCAGACUCCUACGGGAGGCAGCAGUGGGGAAUCUUGCACAAUGGGCGAAAGCCUGAUGCAGCGACGCCGCGUGCGGGACGAAGGCCUUCAGGUUGUAAACCGCUUUCAGCAGGGACGAGGCGAUAAGUGACGGUACCUGCAGAAGAAGCCCCGGCUAACUACGUG
rnacentral:rRNA from 1 species